AAAAAUGUAUUGUUUACUUUUUUAAAUUACUCAUGUUGAAUAAACCUUAAGUUGGUUCGACAAAGUGUCCUGAUACAUGCUCAAUCAUCCAGCUAAGGAAAUCCCCCCAAAAUGGACUUCUUUAGUCUUCAGUGGCCUGAAGAAGUCACUUGGAUGAGUGAUGAAACGUUUCUCCAACUGAAAAAACUACGCCCAGAUGAACAGAAUCAACUUUUUGGGACUUAAUCAGAUUCCUUUUGACCCACAGAAAGAGCAGAUGGAUUAUACCAAGGUGAUUAUACCACCUCACCAUCCUGAAGAUCAGAAGAGUGUUUGAGGAUUUAACAGAUCUCUUAAGGACAAAAACCAGAAAACCAUCACAGCUGAGUCUGGAGAAGACGUCACUCUGACAUGUCGAGCUCCAAACAACAACAUCAUAGUUGUAAAGUGGAGCCGAGCUGACCUGGGAGAUGAAUAUGUGCUUUUGUACCGGGAUGAUCAGUUUGUUCCAGAUGAGCAGCAUCCAUCUUUUAAGAACCGGGUGGAUCUGCAGGACAGACAGAUGAAGGAUGGAGACGUGUCUUUGAUUCUGAAGAAUGUGACGAUUAAUGAUGCUGGAACAUACGAGUGUCGUGUCUUCAUGAGAGGAGCAAACCGCAGGAAAAGAGCCCUUUUGAAGACUCGGCCCGUCAGCAUCAUCUACCUGAGUGUUGUUGAUCCUCCAGGUCACACAGGAGGACACACAGAGGAUGGAGGGAAGGAGGCUGGAGGGAAGGAGGAUGG